UGUAGCUGUCAGUCAACUCAGUUAUCAGUCAUCUCGGUAAAUGAUAAUAGCAUUUUUGACACUUGUAAACAAUUACAUACAAAUUAUUAUUCAUAAAUUCUUUAUAUUUACCAGUAUAAAGAAGUGAAAGCAACCCGAAAUAUGUAUUUCCAAUUGUGCACAUUAAUAUUUGCAUUCCUCACAAUUUCCAAUGUAGAAGCUUCACAAGGCUAUGAUUUUGGUGAUUUCGUAGCUACUAUUUUAGGCAUCGGAAUUGCCGUAAUUGGUAUUCUAGCAUGUUUGGGAAAUUACGCCAGACAAAAAGCCAGGAACGAAUUUAUAUAAAAAUUAAAAAAGUUGCCUGAAUAUCAUGAGUAACUAAGAAGCGACUAAUAAUAUUGUAUACUAAAACAUAUACUAUGGUUAUCCAUUGUCCUUUUUCAAACAUACCUAUGGGGCUGAUUGUUUUAGACAUUUAAACUUUUGUUGUUUAUAAUAUUUUUAAACUUGUUCACAAUUUAAACGUUGAAAAUGUGAUUAUAAGCAUAAGUUCAAUAUUUACAAAGAAUUAACCUCUUUCAUCAGUUUAUUUGUAAGAUUGCUGUUUCAUUGUGAACUUAUAAAAUGAUUUAAGAAAGGUAAAAUAUAUAUAAUACAAUGUAUAUUUAAUAGAUAGUUAUCAAAUAAAAUAUGUUAAGUAAUUGUAUAGAAAAUAUCUUAAUACAUGUCAUAUGUCUAAAGUUUUGUUACCAAUAAUUCUUCAUUUCAGAUAUAAAUAAAUAUUUUUUUAAUCAUUAAAUGUUAUGCACCUA
rnacentral:lncRNA from 1 species